rnacentral:rRNA from 1 species
UACGUAGGGUGCAAGCGUUAAUCGGAAUUACUGGGCGUAAAGCGUGCGCAGGCGGUUGUGCAAGACCGAUGUGAAAUCCCCGGGCUUAACCCUGGGAAUGGCAUUGGUGACUGCACGGCUAGAGUGUGUCAGAGGGGGGUAGAAUUCCACGUGUAGCAGUGAAAUGCGUAGAGAUGUGGAGGAAUACCGAUGGCGAAGGCAGCCCCCUGGAUAACACUGACGCUCAUGCACGAAAGCGUGGGGAGCAAACAGG